CAAAAUAAACCCGCUUCUCCCAUGCCCUAAAAAAAAUUAACAAUCCCCUCCUCUUCCCCGAUUACGCCACCGCCUAUUCCCCUCCCCGAUGCACGUCGCAGCCGGCCAUACCCCUCCUUCGAUGGAACGCCAUUCGCCACCACACCACUGUUGUUCUCCCGACGCCACUGCUCUCAUCCUCGCGACGCACGCCGGGGGCCAUUUGCCUCCCCUCUGCACGGACCACCGUUCGCCACCACUGUCGUUCGCGACCUCUGACGGACCACCGUUCGCCGCCUCUCACGGACCGCUCGUCUCCUCUCGCCCACACCACGCCGCUCAAAGUCAUCGACCUUCCAUUGAUCAUCUCCGUUCAUCACCGACCUCUGUGGUCUGUUCGGACUUUCCAUUCACCAGCCAUCACCAUCUUUUCAAGGCGUCGUCGUCAUCCCAACAGCACUUCUUCCAUCGCCAUCGUCGUCAUCGGUUUUCAUCUUCUUCUGAGGUCUUCAUCUUCUUCCUUCAUCGCCGUUGCCAGUCUUCCCAUUUUUGCUCAUUACUGUUGCCGUCGCCAGUCUUCCCGUCUUUGCUUACCACCGCCACCGUCGUCGCCAUCGUUCUCGUCGCCAUCCCUAUUGCUGGUUCAGGUAUUCUCAUGGUACCAGGAUUGUCUAAGAAAAAAAAAAAACCAGCAGCCAUCGAACCAAAUCCACCACAUUCCACUCAGCAGCCAGCGAUCCAGGGAAUGGCCUUGCCGUCACAGUUAUGAUUAAGGUACCAUCAGCUUCUUCAGAGUCGUGAUACUGUGACUAUACCACCUUCCUCUCAAUCACCAUCAGCUCAUAUUCCACCAGCUUCUCUGGAUUCGGCACCAUCAGAAGUCACACCUUUAGCUCCAUCUCUGGCUAAUGUUGCACCCCCUCUAUUUAGGUAUCAGCAGCUUCUUCAAAGUCAUGGUAUCGUGGCUCCACCAUUUUUCUCAGUUACCAUCAGCCCACGUUCCAUCAGCUUCUCUAGAUCCAAUACCAGUAAAAGUCGCACCUCCUGCUCCACCACCUUCCUCUUAAUCGUCACGAGUCCAUACACCACAUACCGAGCCAGAGCCUAUUGAGCACACACAUCUUACCAUGGAUUUGACUCCUGAUGUCAGCUCUAUAGGGUCCACGAGCAUGAGUGGACGAAAGAAAAGAGGUUGUACCAGAGGAAUUGGGUUAAGUAAGAUAAACAAGGCCCUUGAUAAGAAAAUGAAGAUCAACAUCUCAACAAAAGAAGGACGAUCCACUAAUGCUAUUCAAUCUGCGAAGCUAUCAAAUGAGCUUGGUAUGAUAGCUCGAAAUAUCUUACCUAUCAAGCCUAGAUGGAUCAAAUUAACAGAGGUGGAGAUGCAGAUUGCAUUUGACAAACUAGAGGUAAGUAGAAAUCAUUAUAGUUGCAUUUGUAUUCUAUGCAUAUUUGUUAACUAGUAUUUAAUAUUUGUUUACAGCAAAAAUUAGAUGUCAAGGGUUUAAGGACGGAUGAGAAAGUUUGUGCUAGCAUCAAGAAGCUUCUUUCAUUGAAGUCAAAGAAUCAAAGAUAUCGGCUACAUAUGCAUUACCUUAACCAUAGAAAAGACUCAAAGUCAAGUACUAUGACCACAGCAGAGUGGAUAGAUCUUUGUACUUAUUGGAGCAAAGAAAAGACAUAGAUCAGUAUAACUUGCAUUAUGUUUGCAUAUGAGUAUCUUCUUUAAAGAAUCUACUUUAGGUUGACUGGCAUAAAAUUUUUUAUCUUUUCAGCUAAUAUGUGACCAUAACAAAAAAUUCAAAAGUUUUGUCAAGUGCCAAGCAAACAUCAGGUCAAAAGUUUUUGUACCUAUACGGCAUGAGAUUGUGAGAUAUCAUAUUUUGAUUAUGACUAAUAAUAUCAUUUGACAUUUAAAUUUCUUGCAAUAGUAACUCAUCUUUUAAAUUGAGUGAGAAUGAAUUGAAUGGAGAAGAGUACGAUUAAAUUAUGUUAUGGUAUCGUACUUAUUACACCUCAGGCCAUGGUGAUACUCCAGGUAGAUGGACAACUCUCGAGUGUGAGGCAAAAUGGAUGAGGACACUAUACAAAAAUAAAAUUAUGAUUAUUGUUUUAAGCGAGCUUAGUUUUUAUUUUGUAAUUAAUUCUUUUCGAAUUUUGUUAGAUUGAAAUGAUGUAGGUGCUAGAGCAAUCCAUAUCCGAUGGACAUCCUAUGACAGCAGACCAGAUAUGCGAUAAAGUUUUAGGGACUAGAUCAGAUUAUGUCUAUGGUUUGAAAGUUAGACCUCAUCUAGAAGGAAAGAGUUCCUCUUUUAUGUCUAAGAAGAGACUUCAAAAAGAGUUGGAGCAGUCACAAAAGCAUAACGAAGAGAUGAAGAAUGAGAUUGUAGAUAUUAAGGCACAGAUGGAGCGUCAACAAAAGAUUUUGAAAACUUUAUGUACAUCACAAAAUAUCUCUUUAUCAGAUUUAUGAUGUAAGUUACUUAAGUUAUUUUUUUAAUGUAUCCCUAACUUCUUUUUAUAAGCAUAAUGAAAUAAUAUAUGUAUUUUGUUACUAUAAUAUAUAGGCAAUUAAUUGAUUAUGUUUUUCUUUUUGACGAGAUCCCAUGACUCAAGAACUUG